rnacentral:rRNA from 1 species
GCCAGCAGCCAUAUCACCCUGCAGCUCACAGCUGGCAGCCCACUGAAGCUCAGCAGGUGUGAGCCUGGUCAGUACUGGGAUAAGAGACCUCCUGGGAAAAACUAAGAUUGCUGCUGGAA